AACGAACGCUGGCGGCAGGCCUAACACAUGCAAGUCGAACGCUCUCUUCGGAGGGAGUGGCAGACGGGUGAGUAACGCGUGGGAAUCUACCCAGCUCUACGGAAUAACGCAUGGAAACGUGUGCUAAUACCGUAUACGCCCCAUGGGGAAAGAUUUAUCGGAGUUGGAUGAGCCCGCGUCUGAUUAGCUAGUUGGUGAGGUAAUGGCUCACCAAGGCGACGAUCAGUAGCUGGUCUGAGAGGAUGACCAGCCACACUGGGACUGAGACACGGCCCAGACUCCUACGGGAGGCAGCAGUGGGGGAAUAUUGGACAAUGGGCGCAAGCCUGAUCCAGCCAUGCCGCGUGAGUGAUGACGGCCUUAGGGUUGUAAAGCUCUUUCACCGGUGAAGAUAAUGACGGUAACCGGAGAAGAAGCCCCGGCUAACUUCGUA
rnacentral:rRNA from 1 species